rnacentral:rRNA from 1 species
UUGAGACAGGUGGUGCAUGGUUGUCGUCAGCUCGUGUCGUGAGAUGUUGGGUUAAGUCCCGCAACGAGCGCAACCUUGUGUUUAGUUGCAAACAGGUCAAGCUGUGCACUCUAGACAGACUGCCGUGGACAACACGAGGAAGUGGGGAUGACGUCAAAUCAUCAUGCCCCUUAUGAUCUGGGCUACACACGUGCUACAAUGGCCGGUACAACGGGCAGCGAAGGAGCGAUCCGGAGCGAAUCCUAAAAAGCCGGUCCCAGUUCGGAUUGCAGGCUGAAACUCGCCUACAUGAAGUUGGAGUUGCUAGUAAUCGCGAAUCAGAAUGUCGCGGUGAAUGCGUUCCCGGGUCUU